rnacentral:lncRNA from 1 species
CCUCUCUUUCUUCUCUCCUCUCUCACCCUUCCUCUCUCUAAACGUCACCGCCCCCGCCGGUGUACAGUUGUUGCCGCCGCUCCACCACUCUCUCUUCCCUCUCUCUACUUAUUUCUCUCCACCAGCAGCCAUGGUUGCCAUUGUCGGAAUAACCUCCGCCCUUUUCUUUCCCUUGCCUCAAUUGCUACCGGUGACACCAGCGCCACGCCGGCCUUCUUUUUCUCAAAUACCGCUUCACCCCCUUUUCGGCAAAACCAUGCCGGGGAAAUUCCUCCGCGGCCAUUGCUAGGCUCGCUGGUCAGCGAUCAGCCAUGUCGCCACUCCGUUCUCCGCAUCUCCACCGCUCCGACCAGCAAGAAAGCUGGCCCGUCGCCGCUGUGCAAUAGCCAAACCACCAUAGCAUCGCCUCCCUCAUGCUCCAGCAACACUACCCUCUCCUCUCACCCAUUACGUCCUAGUCGGAGUUGAUGACCAACAAGGUUUUGAUGAACAACAAGGCUCUGAUGAAUUUAUCUGUUAUUAUUGUCUGGUUUGAUUUUCUUUAAUAUAUUAAGUUGCAUGUUUAUUUGCUUUGUUAGCCAAAUCCGGUUUCUAGAUAAAUUUUUUUGUGAUUUUUGAUUUUAAACUUUGAUUUAAUUUCUUUAUUUACGUGUUCAUGAUCAUAUAUGUGGAAUCCGUAGAUUUGUCCUUAAACCGCUAUUAGGUUGUUGAUUAUUUCAAGUUUUCGAUAUUGUUGUUCCCUAAUUUGGUUAACAUCGAUGAAAUGUGACUCAUAUAACUAGGUGCCUAUGGGAAAAUGUGUGAUUGUGUAUUUUGCUCUUAAAUGAUAGUUAGUUUAUGGGACUAAUUUCGUACGUAAUUUUAGUGAUUUAUAUUUGAUUUUUUUUGUGCAUAAUUAAAUUGUUGUGGUUAAGGCAUAUUUGUAUAGUUAAUUCUUUUAUUUUUAUUUAGUUAUUAUUGCUCAUACCCAUAUGAUGUCUAUUACCUUUUAAUAUAUUUUAGUUUCUUUUUACUUGCUUAUUUAUAGAAUAUCCAAUAUACCAUUUCAAUCUAUUCUAUGUUUGACAUAUUCCACCUUUGUUAUUUAUGGCAAACUUUUAAUCCACUCUUAAUCUAAGUGAUUUAAUGUGCAUUAUUUGAAAAUAAUAAAUUGUGUAAUUGAUAAUUUCUUUCUCCCUGUUGAUUCUGAUUGACUGUUAGAAUAAUUUAUUUUUCUUUCAUUUAGAAAUUUUUUAUAUUUAUUUUCCUUCCAUGUGCAUUGACUGAUUUUUAUAUAUGGGUGAUUUUUUUAUUUUUUUUUAAUGAAAAAUUUAUACUGACAAAUAUUUAUCUUCCUUUUACUUUCUAUGAUUCUUUUACUAUAUAAACUUACCCUCAUUUCAUUAAAAAAACAGCUCUUCAAUUACGAUAAUUCUCUAAAAUAAAAUUACUAGUUACUGUAAGACGAAGAAAAAGAUAUUCUCAAGCUAUUAGGUUUCUCUGAUUCCGACAGGGCAUUCAACUUGCUUUACUAUUUCAAUUAUACUGCUUUUCGUUCUUUAUUUUUUUUCGUCAUUUACUGGUAAGUUCUCAAAAUGAUGUAAUUUUUAUUCUUUGUGUGUGUUGACUGCAUCACGUUGUGAAAGCCUUUAGAAAGCAUGUCUAUAGGAAUAUUUCUAUGUUCGUUAUUAUAUGCUUCUGUUUGCUUGCCAUUACAUCUUAUCUAGCAGGUUUAAAUAAACAAUUAUGGAGUUUCGAAGAGUCGCCGGGGUGUUUACAUUAGAUUGUAGUAGUUCUAUUUAGUUUUAGUUUCUUAUUAUUUGGUUUGUAAUAUUAUUGUAUAAAUAUUACUAUUAUUGUAGUAAUAAUAAUAAUGGGGACUGCUCGGAGUGCGGGGACUUACGUGCUCUGUGA